CGCGGUAUUUUGACCGUGCGAAGGUAGCGCAAUCACUUGUCUUUUAAAUGGAGACCUGUAUGAAUGGCAUAACGAGGGCUUAGCUGUCUCCUCUUUCAAGUCAAUGAAAUUGAUCUCCCCGUGCAGAAGCGGGGAUACUUACAUAAGACGAGAAGACCCUAUGGAGCUUUAGACACCAAGACAGACCAUGUUAAACAUCCCAAGACAAAGGACCAAACCAAAUGGCCCCUGCCCUAAUGUCUUUGGUUGGGGCGACCGCGGGGAAACACAAAACCCCCACGUGGAACGAGAACACNNNNNNNNNNNNCUCCUCUCACAACCAAGAGCUCCCGCUCUAGUGAACAGAAAUUCUGACCAACUAGAUCCGGCAAAGCCGAUCAACGGACCGAGUUACCCUAGGGAUAACAGCGCAAUCCCCUUUUAGAGGCCAUAUCGACAAGGGGGUUUACGACCUCGAUGUUGGAUCAGGACAUCCUAAUGGUGCAGCCGCUAUUAAGGGUUCGUG
rnacentral:rRNA from 1 species